rnacentral:rRNA from 1 species
UACGUAGGGUGCAAGCGUUGUCCGGAAUUAUUGGGCGUAAAGAGCUCGUAGGCGGCUAGUCGCGUCGGCUGUGAAAACCUGGGGCUCAACCCCGGGCCUGCAGACGAUACGGGCUAGCUAGAAUUCGGUAGGGGAGACUGGAAUUCCUGGUGUAGCGGUGAAAUGCGCAGAUAUCAGGAGGAACACCGGUGGCGAAGGCGGUUCUCUGGGCCUGUUCUGACGCUGAGGAGCGAAAGCGUGGGGAGCGAACAGG